rnacentral:rRNA from 1 species
AUUGAACGCUGGCGGCAGGCCUAACACAUGCAAGUCGAGCGGAGCGGCGGACGGGAGAGUAAUGCCUAGGAAUCUGCAUGGUAGCGUUGGAUAACGGCCGGAAACGGGCGCUAAUACCGCAUACUAUCAGAUGAGCCUAGUUCGGAUUGGCUAGUGGGUGGGGUAGAGGCCUAACAAGGCGACGAUCCGUAACUGGUCUGACAGGAUGAUCAGUCACACUGGAACUGAGACACGGUCCAGACUCCUACGGGAGGCAGCAGUGGGGAAUAUUGGACAAUGGGCGAAAGCCUGAUCCAGCCAUGCCGCGUGUGUGAAGAAGGUCUUCGGAUGUUAAAGCACUUUAAGUUGGGAGGCGUUACCAACAGAAUAAGCACCGGCUAACUUCGUGCCAGCAGCCGCGGUAAUAC